rnacentral:lncRNA from 1 species
AGCCUUGCCCGUUGCGCAGUAUAUACUGAUCCAGAUGAUAAACCAGUGAACUAUGUCAAAAGCACUCUCAAUAUUACAUUUGACAAAAAGUUUUGUACUUUUCACAUAGCUUGUUGCCCCGUAAAAGGGUUAACAGCACAAUUUUUUAAAAAUAAAUUAAGAAGUAUUUAUAGGAUUAAAGUGACUUCAUUUGUAUACAUUUGGAAUCUAAACCAGCUUAAAAACAGUUUCCUCAAUGACUUAGAUACACAGUAUAACUGAUGCUCUUCUGGAAUACCACAUGAGACAUGGUCAGAGACAGCGCUUGGAAGGACAUUACACAGGAAAUUCAGAGUAAUGCUUUGAAGAUUUCCCCCUUUUGUUUUAUUCCUGAAGGAACAUCAGUACCCGAUCUUGAAGAAAUUCAAGAUUCAAAAAGAAUUUUAAAUACACCAACAUGAGAGAUCAGUAGUCAGUUGGUUUUCAGUAAAGCUUUUUCCAAGUUGUUCUCAACUUAGGAAGUAAUUUUGGUGUGAUCUAGCAAAAGAGUAGAAAUCAGCAGAUACAACCACUUUGGAAGUUUAUAGUAUAAUUGAAAUUAUUAGAAGAAUUCAGCAGGUUACAGACAUACUUAAACUGGGAUUAAAACCUCAUAGUCAUUUCUCUUAAUUGCCCUUAAUAUUUUGACAUAUAGGGAUACUUAAAUUUAAAGAAUAUUUCUUCUCAGUUUUUUCACAUAUUGCCAUACUGAACCUCAUUCUAAACUGGUGCUGUGGAUAGUCUUUCCCUCUCCCCUCCUGUUUUAGUUUAAGGAAAGGUUUCCUUCAUGGAAAAGCACUUUUAAUUUUGAGAAUUUCACAUUUAAAAUAAGCCAGAAGCCUGAUGUUCACAUUGUGCUUUUAAACUCCGUAACAGCUGAAUACAACAUAACAUAGUCUCCCUUGAAAUUCCCUCCCUUUUUCAGUAGAGGAUAAAUAGGGUGACUCCAGCUGUUGGAAUGAGAAUGGGGAUACCCCCAAAAUAAGAUUCUGGUGAAGAUAAAGUCGUGUACUAAGUUCCCCUUUAGGCGUACUCAAGUCUAUAAUAUAAUUAUGAUCAUGAAUAGACUCCUCCAGAAUCCACAAAGAGAACAGGGCUUGGAUGUCAAAAAUUCUUCCAUUGUGGGGUAGGUGGUUGGGGAUGGGAGAAAGGGAAAAGUCAGGGAAGGGGAGAAGAAAGAAAAACACAUUUGGCCUUAAAAUAGCUUGCAUUCUCCCAGAAGCCCAUAGUAAAGAAAAUGACAGAUCGUGGUCAGCAGACUCUUAUCAAAUUGGUGUGUAAAAGAUUUCUUCAAGCUCCGUUUUGCAGAGACCACCACUUAGAGAAUCAAAAAAUUCCUGUUUUGAUACUUAUAAGUUAAAAUAUAUGUUACAGUUUAUCUGGUACUUCAUUUUUCUUAACUAAAACUACUUUUUACUUUAAGCUUGAAUAAAAAUCAUCAUUGGUAACUGUAUGUAAUUAAGUGGCAACUUCUCUUUACCUCAGUAUAGUUAAAAACCAUUCAUAUUUUAAGUGAUUCAUGUAUACCCUGAAGCCGUUAAUACACCCCAGUCUCUACGGUAACAUCACUAAAUGUGGGCAUAGAAACUCCACGGCUGUUUACAAAUUUGGUUACAGUGUGCUAUGGUGCAUUUGUAACACUCAGAUUUGUGCCCAUUCAGGGGCAAUUUGGCACUCAGAUUCUACUCUACUUCACCUAACCACCCCUAGAUCUGAGUUUUCAGAGUGCUUCUGAAGUACAGUUAAAAAACACUUUUUAAAAAGUGGAGUAAAAGUGAGGCACAUUUUACAAGAACAUAACUCCUAUUAAAACGGAGUAACAACUAUGCAAAGGUUUCUAUAGCAGCUAGGUGAGUUUGUUUUCCGGGUCUGUCUUAACUGGCAGCUUCCUGUAUAUACUGGUACUUUGCUGUGCCAAUUUGCUGUAAACGUCUGUUUCAUACAUUUGCCAUGCAGUGACUGUGCUAGAAAGGUGAAAUAAAUGGUAAAGAAGCCUAGGAUUUUAUGGUGUAAGAAACUGAUCGAAGGAUUUUCUGAUCCAUAGCUAUUAAUUGAAAACUUCUGAUAGUGCUAUAGGCUCUAUAGUAGGCUUAAGAGUGAGUCUUACACUACGAAGCCAGCCACAAGAUACUAACAAAUGUAUAAAUUGAAAAGUACCAAUACUUUUUGCACAUAGAUCAAAAUAGAGUGGAGAAUUUGGGCUCCAAAAAUCAGGUUAGUAGGCUCAUUUCCAUGUGCUUAAAAAUGUUUUUGUUGUUAUGCAUUGAUUAAGGGCUAGAGCAAAUAUAAAAUUAAAUGUCUUUUUCCUCCAAAUAAUUGGUUAUUAAUGGUAAAAUGUUGGACUUGGGGAUUACUGAGAUUAGUAUGUGGGUAGUAAAGAAUUGGAGUGGGAGUUAGUGGGGAGGGAUGACAAAGCUUCAGCUUUGGUUUUUGUAUUUUAUUAGUCUUCAUAACAGCUACAUUUCUGUUGCUCUUAUUGGCCAGAUAAAUGUGUUAUAUUAAACCAGGUAAGUAUUUUAAACAGAACAUUUUAUUUGCAUAUAUCCCUAUAAAUUGGCCCAUUUUAUUGGGUGGGGGGAUAAAAAAGGGAUUCCCUAACUUUAUAUAAUCAGAAUAUCCUGCAAUUGAAAGGAGAAAAAAAUCCAAUUUUGUCAGUAUUUUCUUAGUAUGAAAAAAAACAGAAGUAGUAAUAUGGUGAAUUUUAUUAUUAGGAGUGUUCUGCCUCUAGAGUGGCAUUCCAUGACAUUAAUAGAAAAUCCUUCUUUCCCACCCUUCCCCAUCUUGAAAUUUUCUUUUUUAGGAUGUUGGUUCCUGCAAACAAGAACUGACCCUAUCACCUCUGCCUCACAGUGGGUAAAUAUAUCGUACAUCUCUUGAAAGGGAAAAUAUCCAUGUCAGUUUCUUUCACAGUAGAAGAAUGGCUGCUUUUGAAUGGGGAGGAAAGAAGACAUUUUUCUUAAUAUCCUUUUUGUCCCAUCUCUAAAAUGUAUAAAUAUUUUGAUUUGGUUUUACUUUCUCAUUCAUAAUUUAGCAACUCUCCUUUUGGGUUGCCCUCCAACACAUUACUUCCAUUUCAGAAACCAUAUCUGAUUUAAUAUAAACUGCUAACUUAAGAAGAGGUGAAUUUGCAUUUACACUUAGACACUUUCUAAAAACAGGGUGAACUUAAUUGAAAUUUUUCAGUGUUGUUAAGCUAUUGUUAUAGUAGCUGCCCUAUAGUUACAAAAAUAAAAACUAUAAAAACCCAUCCCCUAUCUACUUAAUCCAGAUAGCCUGGAUUUAACAAAACUAAUAGUAUAAAAAUGUGUGUGUGUGUGUUCUGUGUGUGUGUGAGAGAGAGAGUACGUGAUUCAUUAAAAAGUCCUGGAAACAGCUGUUCUAGGAUCUUGUCAUUUUUACUAAAAGUCUCGUGCACAUGUGAAGUGCCCUCUGAGUUUAAGGUUUGGUUAAUACUGGUAUAUUUUUAUAAGAUUGAAAUUGUGUCCCCAUCUUUAACUUAAACAUUUUCGUUAUCAGGGUCAAUGUGCUAGAACUGAAUUGUAACAUUUUUAGGCACAGAUGGAAAAAAAUGUUAUUGGCUCCUUGAAAAUGUGUGUGUGUGGCGAGGGGAAUAGAUCCACAAAAGCAUGUAUGUACUUACAAACCAAGCUGUAGAGAUCAAGAAAAGAACUUAAAUGUUGAUCUCAAGAUUUCUAAAUUGUCAAGAUUUACAUGGCAUUGUGGUGGAACUAGUUAACACUUAGAGCUUUUGGUAUGUAAUAACUAUUUGCUAUGGACUGAUUAAAUGUUUCAAAAGAUUGUG